rnacentral:rRNA from 1 species
GUUAUAAGACGAGUCGGGAAAGUUUUUCGCUAAGGGAUCAGUCUAUGUUCCAUCAGUUAGUUGGUGAGGUAAUGGCUCACCAAGACUAUGACGGAUAUCUGGUUUGAGAGGAUGAUCAGACACGCUGGAACUGAGACACGGUCCAGACUCCUACGGGAGGCAGCAGUGAGGAAUAUUGCACAAUGGAGGAAACUCUGAUGCAGCAACGCCGCGUGGAGGAUGACGCAUUUCGGUGUGUAAACUCCUUUUAUUAGGGAAGAUAAUGACGGUACCUACUGAAUAAGCACCGGCUAACUCCGUGCCAGCAGCCGCGGUAAUACGGAGGGUGCAAGCGUUACUCGGAAUCACUGGGCGUAAAGGGUGCGUAGGCUGGCUUCUAAGUCAGAUGUGAAAUCCAAUGGCUCAACCAUUGAACUGCAUUUGAAACUGGGAGCCUAGAGUUCAGAAGGGGCAGAUGGAAUUAGUGGUGUAGGGGUAAAAUCCGUAGAUAUCACUAGGAAUAUCAAAAGCGA